UGCGUAGGGUGCAAGCGUUGUCCGGAAUUAUUGGGCGUAAAGAGCUCGUAGGCGGUCUGUCGCGUCUGCUGUGAAAACUCGGGGCUUAACCCCGGGCCUGCAGUGGGUACGGGCAGACUAGAGUGCGGUAGGGGAGACUGGAAUUCCUGGUGUAGCGGUGAAAUGCGCAGAUAUCAGGAGGAACACCGGUGGCGAAGGCGCCACUCUGGGCCGAAACUGACGCUGAGGCGCGAAAGCGUGGGGAUCAAACAGG
rnacentral:rRNA from 1 species